rnacentral:lncRNA from 10 species
AUCUGUUCUGGGUCAAUAUUUGUUUCACCUUGGCAAAGCUUCCUAUACAAACCUGUGAUCAUAUGCCUUUGUUUUCUCACUUCAGGUACAAGGUAGCUGGAGACCACCCUGGCUGAGCUGUGAUCAGUCGCAUCUAGACUAGUUUGGUGUUUCAGAGCAAGUCUCUCAAAUGCCCUGUGCCUCAAUGCUCUCAUCUGCACGUUGGAAGAAAGAAUUCCUGCUUCCCAGAGCCGUUGGGAGGAGUAACAGAGGUGAAGUGUGUAAAGUACACACGAAAGGAACUCAGCUGACAGCAGCAUCUUCACUGAGUUUCAGAUUUCUGACCCACGGAAAGGCAAGAUAUUCUAAUUCUGCACUGCCCAGUAGGGUGGCCUCUAGCCACAUGUGGCCACUGAGAUCCUGCAGUGUGGCCUGUCCAAGCUGAACCGAACUCUUGGUGGGAAAUGCUCACCAGAUUUGAAGACUUUGUAUGACAGAAUGAACAGAAAUAUCUUGACAUUUUUGUCUCAGGUA